rnacentral:rRNA from 1 species
AUUGAACGCUGGCGGCAGGCCUAACACAUGCAAGUCGAGCGAGCGGCGGACGGGUGAGUAAUGUAUGGGGACUGCCCGCUAGAGGGGGAUAAGUAACGGAAACGGUGGGUAAUCCCGCAUUCAGUCGGGUACCCCAUAUGGGAUUAGAUAGUAGGUAAGGUAAUGGCUUACCUAGGCGACGAUACCUAGCUGGUCUGCGAGGAGGAUCCGCCACACUGGGACGGAGACACGGCCCAGACUCCUACGGAGGCAGCAGUGGGGAAUAUUGCACAAUGGGCGCAAGCCUGAUGCAGCCAUGCCGCGUGUAUGAAGAAGGCCCUAGGGUUGUAAAGUACUUUCAGUCGGGAGGCGUUACCGACAGAAGAAGCAACGGCUAACUCCGUGCCAGCCGCCGCGGUAAUUC